GACCUUUACAGCCCCCGACUUUUUUCAUGUUGUGCCUAUAUUCCUUUCACUGUUUUCUUGAGGUCUUCUUCUUCUCAUACAGGUCAUGUCCUGCAAGUCUAUGUUUUGGUUCACUUUUCUUUGCACAAUCCAAGGAAUCAU